UAUGUGAUCGUCUCUCGCAUAUCAAUAAGCGGAGGAAAAGAAACUAACAAGGAUUCCCCUAGUAACGGCGAGUGAAGCGGGGAAGAGCUCAAAUUUGAAAUCUUAAAGGGUUUCCCUUUACGAAUUGUAGUUUAAAGAAGUGUUUUCUGUUGAGGUUUUGGUAAAAGUUCUUUGGAAUAGGACAUCAUAGAGGGUGAGAAUCCCGUAUUUGACCUUUACUUUCAACUUUGUGAUACACUUUCAAAGAGUCGGAUUGUUUGGGGAAUGCAGUCCAAAAUGGGUGGUAAAUUUCAUCUAAAGCUAAAUAUUGGCGAGGAGACCGAUAGCGAACAAGUACCGUGAGGGAAAGAUGAAAAGAACUUUGAAAAGAGAGUUAAACAGUACGUGAAAUUGUCAAAAGGGAAGCGUUUGACACCAGUGUUGUUUUUCUGAAAAUCAAUUAAAGAACUGUUUAUGCUAAGUUGUUUAGACUUUAUCAGCUAACUGUUUAGUUUUGAGCUUUUCUUUAAUGCACUUUUCAGUUAACAAGUCAACAUCAAUUUCUUUUGCUGUAAAAAAGCUUGAGGAAGGUGGCUUGAGAUUCGUCUUAAGUGUUUAUAGCCUCUUGCCUAUGCAGUCGGAGAGAUUGAGGUCUGCAGCGUAGAUCCUUCGGGGCUAAAUGCAUUUGUGCUAAGUUAUAGCAUUUUAUAGACAACUUGUUGACUAUGAUUUGUCUUGUAGCUUACUCGCUUAUGUUAUUUUACCUACGCUUAGGAUGUUGAUAUCGCGCUCUCACUG
rnacentral:rRNA from 1 species